GAUGAACGCUGACAGAAUGCUUAACACAUGCAAGUCGAUGGGGAAGUGGUGCUUGCACCAUGGUAACCAUGGCGGACGGGUGAGUAACGCGUAAGGAACUUGCCUGCGGGACUGGGAUAACAGCAGGAAACUGCUGAUAAUACCGGAUAAGGUCAUUAAGCUGCAUAGCUUAGUGAUGAAAGGAGACGCCUGCGGAGAGCCUUGCGUCCUAUUAGCUAGUUGGAGGGGUAACGGCCCACCAAGGCGAAGAUAGGUAGCCGGCCUGAGAGGGUGGACGGCCACAAGGGGACUGAGAUACGGCCCUUACUCCUACGGGAGGCAGCAGUGGGGAAUAGUGGACAAUGGGGGCAACCCUGAUCCAGCAAUUCUGUGUGCACGAAGACGGUUUUCGGAUUGUAAAGUGCUUUCAGCAGGGAAGAAGGAAGUGACGGUACCUGCAGAAGAAGCGACGGCUAAAUACGUG
rnacentral:rRNA from 1 species